GUCUUAGCCAUGGUUUCCUCUCCUAUUUGGUUGCAGUACGCUGUUGGGACUUUGGGAUGGCUAGAACAUUCAAUUGGCUGUGAUGAUCUCUUACUAAGGUCUUGUCUCCAGUUGUAGCUUUGCACGUGCAACAGCCAACAGAUACUCUCCUUCCAGGCCAAUUUCUGAUUGGUAGCUAGACCCUAACUCUCAAAAUAUGUCAAGGUGGCCGAAGGAGAUGUCAUGUGCCUGCUGGAUAGUUGGCUGGAUGGCUAUGCCGAUGUCGAGCAGCUGAGCAGAGCUUGCAAGAUCGCAUGCUGGUGCAUCCAAGAUGAUGAGGAUCACAGGCCAAUGAUGGGGCAAGUCGUUCGCAUGCUAGAGGGUGUCAUGGAUGUUGAAGUACCCCCUGUUCCGAGGUCAUUGCAGAAUUUUGUAGGCAUGGAGGAUUGAUUACACUCGCUAGACCGAGCUUAUCAUUCUUUUCUUUUUCUCCAGUAGUGCACCAUGGUGCUAUUCGCUUAUCAGUGUAUCCACUUGUAUAAAUACAUGUACAAGAGCACAGCGUGCAGCGUGCUUAGCCACAACUCAACAUGCUUCCCCUUCAAGAAUUGUGUGUUCUGUUUUGUUC